GGGGUGCUCGAGUGGCGAACGGGUGAGUAACACGUGAGUAACCUGCCCUUGACUUUGGGAUAACUUCAGGAAACUGGGGCUAAUACCGGAUAGGAGCUCCUGCUGCAUGGUGGGGGUUGGAAAGUUUCGGCGGUUUGGGAUGGACUCGCGGCUUAUCAGCUUGUUGGUGGGGUAGUGGCUUACCAAGGCUUUGACGGGUAGCCGGCCUGAGAGGGUGACCGGCCACAUUGGGACUGAGAUACGGCCCAG
rnacentral:rRNA from 1 species